CCAUCUCCUGCCAACACACUUGAUCUGAUGGUUUGGAAGCUAGCCCUGGGUCCCGGUUCCCCAGCUGCUACUGCAGCAGAGAACUCACCUGCUGUGUGGUACAGAUCUUCAUGAGCCGGUACCAGGCAGCCCUGUUGGGUCUAGGCCUGCUCCUCAUGUUCCUACUGUACAUGGGGUUGCCUGGCCCACCCAAGCAGACUUCCCAGCUCGGGAGAGGUCCUAAUGUCACAGUCCUGACUGGUCUCACCAGAGGCAGCUCCCAAAUCUUUUACCGGGAGGUGCUGCCGCUCCAGCAGACACACAGGGCGGAAGUCGUGUUUCUCCAUGGGAAAGCAUUUAAUUCCCACACAUGGGAGCAGCUGGGCACACUGCAGCUCCUCUCAAAGAGGGGCUACCGGGCCGUGGCCGUCGACCUUCCAGGUUUUGGGAACUCAGGUGAAGCUGCACAAUGCAGGUCAUGCCUGCUACCUCCACAAGCCAGAAGCCUUCCACCUUGCCCUCCUUGCCUUUCUUGACCAUUUGCCUUGAAUGGACUCACUUCCCAGGACCCACCUCGAAGAGUCUAGACCUCCUCACUCUCCUCUUCCAGGGUGACAGUCCCUGGCUGUGAUUGGGGGACAGGGGAUCAAACCUAACCAGGACUUUUGUAUUCCAUUUCACAGGCACAAUAAAGAAAAGCCUUUUUGUCUUGC
rnacentral:lncRNA from 1 species